CAGCCCCGCACCGGGACACGGUCCCCCGCUCCCGCCGGGACCCCCGCCCGCCGCCCCGAGCCCCGGCCCCGGGGAGGGAGGGGACACCGGAACCGGGCGGGGGGACAGGAGGGACCUGCCGGGCUCGGCCCCGCACCUGCCGCACCGGGCGGGGGACACCGGGACUCAGCCCCGCACCGGGACACGGACCCCCCGCCCGGCCGGGACCCCCGCCCGCCGCCCCGGCCCCGGGGAGGGGCACGGGGGACACCGGGGUGGGAACGGGAGCCUGCCCGGGGCCGCGGCCCCGCACCUGCCGCGUGGGAAGGGAGGGAGGGACGCGGGGGCUGAGCCCCGCACCGGGGAUUCCCCGGGACACCCGCCCGCCGCCCUUCGCUCCCGGGCGGGGCCGCUGCCGGGAACUGCGGCGGCUCCUGCGCGGCGGCGGCGAUGGAGCGGCCGGUGCCGCUGCCCCGGGGGACCCGGGCCCGGGCCCGGCACUACUACGAGGGCUUCGUGGACAAACGGGGCCCGCGGGAUCAGGGCUACCGGAGGGUCUGGGCCGGGCUGCGGGGGCUCAGACUCGCCUUCUACGGGGGGCCCCAGGAGCCCGAGCCCCUGGAGGUGCUGGACCUGGGCGAGCUGGUGGCCGUGCAGGCCGAGGGCGGCGCUCUGGUCCUCAAGCUGAGGGGACAAGAGGUGACAAUGAAGGUGAGGGACAGCCACGGGGCUGGGGGGGGCAAUGAGGGGCUGAGGGUACCCGGGGGAAAUGGGGGUACCUGGGGGGCGG
rnacentral:lncRNA from 1 species